CAACUUUCAACAAUGGAUCUCUUGGCUCUGGCAUCGAUGAAGAACGCAGCGAAAUGCGAUAAGUAGUGUGAAUUGCAGAAUUCAGUGAAUCAUCGAAUCUUUGAACGCACAUUGCGCCCCUUGGUAUUCCAUGGGGCAUGCCUGUUCGAGCGUCAUU
rnacentral:rRNA from 1 species